rnacentral:rRNA from 1 species
UACGUAGGGGGCUAGCGUUGUCCGGAAUUAUUGGGCGUAAAGAGCUCGUAGGCGGUUUUUCGCGUCGAAUGUGAAAACCCGGGGCUCAACCCCGGGCCUGCAUUCGAUACGGGCAGACUAGAGUGCGGUAGGGGAGACUGGAAUUCCUGGUGUAGCGGUGAAAUGCGCAGAUAUCAGGAGGAACACCGGUGGCGAAGGCGGGUCUCUGGGCCGUAACUGACGCUGAGGAGCGAAAGCGUGGGGAGCGAACAGG